rnacentral:rRNA from 1 species
CGGGUAACGGGGAAUUAGGGUUCGAUUCCGGAGAGGGAGCCUGAGAAACGGCUACCACAUCCAAGGAAGGCAGCAGGCGCGCAAAUUACCCAAUCCCAAUACGGGGAGGUAGUGACAAUAAAUAACAAUAUGGGGCUCUUACGGGUCUCGUAAUUGGAAUGAGUACAAUUUAAAUCUCUUAACGAGGAACAAUUGGAGGGCAAGUCUGGUGCCAGCAGCCGCGGUAAUUCCAGCUCCAAUAGCGUAUAUUAAAGUUGUUGCAGUUAAAAAGCUCGUAGUUGAAUUUCGGAGUUUGUCGGUUGGUCGGGCUUCACUGUCCGCACUGGCCUGAUGGAUUCCUACCUUCUGAAUAACCAGCAUGCUAUUAAGUUAGUGCGUUGGGGAAGCAGAGCUAUUACCUUGAAAAAAUUAGAGUGCUUAAAGCAGGCUUAUGCUUGAAUAGAUUAGCAUGGAAUAAUAAAAUAGGACGGCAUGGUUCUAUUUUGUUGGUUUCUAGGAUCACCGUAAUGAUUAAUAGGGAUAGUUGGGGGCAUUAGUAUUCAAUUGUCAGAGGUGAAAUUCUUGGAUUUAUUGAAGACUAACUUCUGCGAAAGCAUUUGCCAAGGAUGUUUUCAUUAAUCAAGAACGAAAGUUAGGGGAUCGAAGACGAUCAGAUACCGUCGUAGUCUUAACCAUAAACUAUGCCGACUAGGGAUCGGACGAUGUUAAUUUUUUAAUGACUCGUUCGGCGCCUUACGG